GAUGAACGCUGGCGGCGUGCCUAAUACAUGCAAGUCGAGCGAACGGACGAGAAGCUUGCUUCUCUGAUGUUAGCGGCGGACGGGUGAGUAACACGUGGAUAACCUACCUAUAAGACUGGGAUAACUUCGGGAAACCGGAGCUAAUACCGGAUAAUAUUUUGAACCGCAUGGUUCAAAAUUGAAAGACGGUCUUGCUGUCACUUAUAGAUGGAUCCGCGCUGCAUUAGCUAUUUGGUAAGGUAACGGCUUACCAAGGCAACGAUGCAUAGCCGACCUGAGAGGGUGAUCGGCCACACUGGAACUGAGACACGGUCCAGACUCCUACGGGAGGCAGCAGUAGGGAAUCUUCCGCAAUGGGCGAAAGCCUGACGGAGCAACGCCGCGUGAGUGAUGAAGGUCUUCGGAUCGUAAAACUCUGUUAUUAGGGAAGAACAUAUGUGUAAGUAACUGUGCACAUCUUGACGGUACCUAAUCAGAAAGCCACGGCUAACUACGUG
rnacentral:rRNA from 1 species